rnacentral:rRNA from 1 species
CCUGGGAACUGCAUCUGAAACUGUAGAGCUAGAGUAUGUGAGAGGAAGGUAGAAUUCCAGGUGUAGCGGUGAAAUGCGUAGAGAUCUGGAGGAAUACCGAUGGCGAAGGCAGCCUUCUGGCAUAAUACUGACACUGAGGCUCGAAAGCGUGGGUAGCAAACAGGAUUAGAUACCCUGGUAGUCCACGCCGUAAACGAUGUCUACUAGUCGUUGGGUCCCUUGAGGACUUAGUGACGCAGCUAACGCAAUAAGUAGACCGCCUGGGGAGUACGGCCGCAAGGUUAAAACUCAAAUGAAUUGACGGGGGCCCGCACAAGCGGUGGAGCAUGUGGUUUAAUUCGAUGCAACGCGAAGAACCUUACCUGGUCUUGACAUAUCUAGAAUCCUGCAGAGAUGCGGGAGUGCCUUCGGGAAUUAGAAUACAGGUGCUGCAUGGCUGUCGUCAGCUCGUGUCGUGAGAUGUUGGGUUAAGUCCCGCAACGAGCGCAACCCUUGUCCUUAGUUACCAGCGGGUUAAGCCGGGAACUCUAAGGAUACUGCCAGUGACAAACUGGAGGAAGGCGGGGACGACGUCAAGUCAUCAUGGCCCUUACGACCAGGGCUACACACGUGCUACAAUGGUAGGUACAGAGGGCAGCUACACAGCGAUGUGAUGCGAAUCUCAAAAAGCCUAUCGUAGUCCAGAUUGGAGUCUGCAACUCGACUCCAUGAAGUAGGAAUCGCUAGUAAUCGCGGAUCAGAAUGCCGCGGUGAAUACGUUCCCGGGCCUUGUACACACCGCCCGUCACACCAUGGGAGUUGAUUG